GAAGGUAUAGCUCAAGUGGUAGAGCACAUGCUUAGCAUGCACGAGGUCCUAGGUUCAAUCCCCAGUACCUCUU
rnacentral:tRNA from 1 species